UUUUUUCUCUUCUUAAGGUUGCUUCAACCACGCCUUUUUUCUCAUCUUCCCCUUUCUUCUUCAGAUAUUAUUUCACUCUCUCUCUUGUUUUUUUCCUACUUGCUAUAGUUAGUCACCUACGUCGAAAAAACUGUUUAUCAUCCCAAAUUCGAAAUACUAUCAUGAAUCCACCAAUCAACUGCCAAACAUAGAAUCUUGGGCUUAAAUUCAAGUCCACAUGUUCAAAUCAGAAACCUUUGAUCAUAGCAAUAAUAGUGUGAAUGAUGAAAUUGUUGGUUCUGUUGAAAAUUUGGGCUGAAGGUAUCAUUCUGAAAUAGUCAGGUAGCAAAUAUUGGCUGUUUUGAGUGGUUUGGGUGUUGUUUUGGUCGAAUCUGAAUCUAUCGGUGAUCAGUGGCUCUCCGACGAUCUGAUUUUUUCUUGUUUUCUUAACACAGAUCUUCUUUUUGUGCAAUUUUUCUAUCUGGUAUUGGUUUUCCCUUUUGCUUAGUAUUAUUAUUGAUGGGAAGCAACUCACUCCCAACCGAGGGGUUGCUUUCCAAUGGAGGAGUUGCUAUGAUGGUAAGCAACCCCAUUUCUAAUCUAGCGGUUGUGAGAUCGAGUCUCCUCAAUAUCAAGGUGAUAAGUUGUUGGAGGGAAGGAUGCCGGGGUCUAUUUGAAAACAGCCUCUCUAUCCAAGAUUAGGGCAAGGUCUGCCUACAUAUUAUCUCUCUCCAGACACCACUAAGCAAUCAUUUGAAUGGUUAAUUAGAAUUAACAGUGUAGAACUAUGAGUAAGAAAAAAGAAAAAAAAAGGGAAAGUUAAAAGAUUACUGACGUGGUGCUGACGUGGUUUUGAUGUGGCACGCGUGUGUAAAACAUGAGACUGGUAUUAGUGUUUCGGUUGGGGUGUGGGGGCGAGUUUAUUCACUCCAAAUACAUUUGGGGGUUAAAAGAACACCACUUUAGUUUAAGUGUUCAAACCUCUUUUCUGAACAAGUUUAAUGGAUACUUAUGUAUUUUGCCUUAACUAAGUUAUUUAUUUCUUUAAUAUAAACAGUGGUGGCGAACAGACGGGUCGGAUCGCAUAUGAGCGGGUAAAAAAUAGGUAAUAAAAAAUAGAUAAAUUAUUUGAUCCAACC
rnacentral:lncRNA from 1 species